rnacentral:pre_miRNA from 1 species
GAUUGGAGGCGUCGGACCAGGCUUCAUUCCUUGUAAACCGAUGCAUCCAUGGCGUCUACAUACACAUAGAUGUAGGUUUCCUGUUAGUUAAUCGCGUGGCAUGCCAGGAUUAGGUUAAGGGGUUUGUUGUCUGGCUCGGGGCUCCCGGUCUU